GAAUUGAAGAAUGCCGAAAGUUAUGUGGAGGUCAUGGAUAUCUAAGUAGCAGUGGACUCCCUGAGUUAUUUGCCGUUUAUGUCCCUGCCUGUACAUACGAAGGAGAUAACACCGUGCUACUACUACAGGUGCAUCAAAAUCAUGAGCGGUUCAUGGCUACGGAAACUAGACUUCUGGAGCUACGACAUAGACUCUCGGAGCAGCACAUCUGACUGUGAAUUCCAUCAGCAAGGAUGCAUUUUAUUGACCACGAUACACCAUAUCCACACCUUGAGAUUAUUAGCGACAAGCAGAAUCCGCGCGCCUAAGUUCUCGCUUUAAAAGUUCAUCCUCUGGUGAUAGGUGCUUUUGCGCUCGCUAGGAAGCCGCUUGACGCCUCCCUUGAUCUUGCAGAAUGGUCGACUAGAGAGAUGAAGGAUGCAUUGGAUAGAUUUUCGGGCAAAGCAACCAACAUGAAGGUCCUAGUUUUGAAGUCCUCUACCCAUCAGAAGGUCGCGUCUGCUAGUCCUCCUCAUCGUGAUCACGAUGGACGUCUUGCCACUUGGAGUACUCCUCCUUCCGGCUUUGUUGAAGUUCGCUAUACGUCCAAAUAUCGGGAGUAGGUAGAAGAUGUUCUUUCCCGUAACAAGUUGACUCUGGAUGGCAUCAAGGUCUAUGACGCCAUCUUUGCUUCGUUGUUCACAUAUGACUACAAUGAGAAUGUCCUCCGUGCCUUUUGUGAGCUUUGGCAUCCAUCUACCAACACAAUUUCUACCUCUAUUGGUGAACUCUCCAUCUCUUUGUAGGACUUGCGAGCUCGGAGGCCUUCCAGUGCAUGGGUCCAUCUACGACAAAGUUAUCCCCUUGGCUAAGGAGUUGACACAAGCGGACGAUCAAGGAAAACCUUUCCUCCCAAGAAGUUAUCUGCACCUAUUCUCGGCGUUCUACAAACUCAUGAAGGAUGAUGUCCACGAGGUUUCCAUUCGUUAUUGGGUGGAGUUUUGGUUUCGAGGUCCGAGUAGGUAUGCCAAGCUUCUGCAAAAGUCAUCAAGGAAUCGGACUAAAAGGCCCAAGUUGAAUCAUAAUCCUUCUGGAAAUAUUGACGAGAGCUUCCUACCAUGAACCGAUGAGGAGAAUGCCCCUUUAUUGAGCUUGGCGUGGAGGAGUCAUUUAGAGCUGAGACUUAUUUGGCAGCUUUACUUGCAUGUUGGCUUUGCAAAUUUGUGUUCCCCAAUAAGAAGAUCGACUACAUUCGUGAUAGCGUCUUCAUAAUCGCGAGUUUGAUGGCUCAUGGAGAGAAGUUUUCCUUGGCGGUUCCAGUCCUUGCAAGUAUCUACCAUGGCUUGAAGGAGGUCUCCACUUCUAAAGAUUUGGGUUCCUGCAAAGCACUCUUUCCUAUUCAUUAUGUAUAUGGAUGGAUAGGAGCAUAUUUCGAUAAUUACUAUCGUGUUAAGCGUCCAUAACGAGGUCUGCAAAUGUGCAAGGUUUCUGGCGAGAAGAUGGCCAAGCAUUUUGAACUUAGUAAUGCCCAUGAGUUAUUUCAACAAGUUAGUACGCGACAACUUCACCAUUUGACUAUGCUACAAGGGAGGGAAUUGAAUCUUACUGAUCGUGACGAACAAUCGAAUUCUUGGCGUGACUUUUUUAUAAGUCUUCGCUCAAGCUUCAUCACCCUUAGGCAUGAUGACAUUCAUAUUAUGGAAUCUUAUAGCUCCCAUAGGUUUAGUCGUCAAUUUGGUUUUUGUCAAGAUGUUCCUGGCAACCUCAUAGAGCAACCUUAUGACGGCUCACUGAAAAUGCUAGUGCAGCUCUGGGACUCAUGUGUUCGUCUUGGAGGUUCGUCAAAGGUUAUUGUCCCUAUGCGUCCUUCAAAGGUUAGUCGUCAGCUCAUCGAGUGCACUCCUCCUGACAAAGUACUCACAUCAUUUUGAAAGUUCCAAGGAAAGAUGAUAUUCUUUUAUCCUCCAAAGAUGAUCAACGUCAAAAGAUCGAAGUCCAAGUUAAGAUUGAAAGAUCCUUCGCCAAGUACCAAGGUCUUAUUUGGGUCUACCCCUUCGACGGGCGGGGAUGCCAUGUGGACAAAAGAGCUAAACAUGUGUUGUUGAUUCCAAGACAACUACUGCCAUUGUGGAGGUGACGAACAAUCCUUGCAAAAGGAAAGCGCCUCCUACUUCACCAAACAAAGAUGUUGCAAAGACAGCCAACGUCGUGCCAACAAAUGAGGAAAGGAUUCAAGCUUCUGCUUUGCCCAAUAAGGUUGUGAAUGUUAGUGCGACUUCCAGUUUGAACGAGAGUGAUGUUAGUCACGACAUACAUUGGAAUCGUUCAAAGAAGAAGGUUAAGGACACAAGCCAUAGUGAGUUUGCUGACUUGGAUGCUCUUAGUAUCGAUAAUGGAUUUUUCGUAGAGGGUGACUGUAGCUCAACGAUGCCAUUGUCUGAACUGGAGAAACGAGUAAAUAUUAUUUUCUUCAAAUUUACUCCUUUUUUUUGCUUUUGAACACCAAAGUUAUUAUUUUUUUAAUUGCAGUUGGGCAUCGAUGAGUUGUAUGAUGAUGUACUUGGUGGCAACAUGGUGGAAGACUGUGUUACAAGCCCAAAUUCCCUCGAUGCGGCCGCAAAAAAUCCGCACACUUCAUUUGAUGGUGUUGAAUAUCAUGCUGCAAAUAACGCUUCAUUGAGAGAUUUAAGUCUACCCAAAGAGUCGCACCUCGUUCUUCCAGAAGAUAUUAUACUUUCAAAGCCAACGGUGAUAAGUAAGAUGGAGAUUGCCGCAAGUCAAGCUAAAUGUCAAAAAGCCUUCGAGCCUACUCCAUGGCCGUUACAUCUUGAUGCUCCAAACUUCAAACCACAAGACUGUUUCCUGUAUUAAACUUUCUUUUGUUAACGCGAUGUAGCAUACCUUGUGUGAAUGGAUCGAAGAGUUCUCUCUUGAUUCUCUGGAUAGCUUCACAAAUUUGAAGGAAAGUAUCGCUUUGACUCUUGAGGAAAUUAAGAAAGAAAAUAUUAUUGAUAUUUCUACUUUAGGCUCUUGAGGCUUUUUUUCAAGACGUACGCAGAUUACGAUGCUUUAAGAUCAUCCCAGAUGACUAAAGAAUUUCACCAAGAGUCACUUUCUGAUGCACGACGACGCCUCGAUGAUGCAAAACAAGAAUAUGAAAAAGUGAACGAGUCUGUAGAGAGACUUCAAGACAAUCUUGCGAGUGUUGAACAAUAGCUAGCUGCCUUGGCCUCCAGAAAGAAGAAGAUCAUCGCGCUCUUGGAUAAACAACAAGUGAAGUUGGCUAAAAGUCAAGAGAACAUUGACAUUACCGAUGGGGAGAUUUAUACCAUUGAAGCCAAUCAUCCAUUAUCUAAUGAUGAAGCAGAGAAAUUAUCCCUCCUGAAAAGGGCAGUUGAGACAAGCCGCCAACAAAUCCUUAGCUUCAAACCUUUUCCAUGAUUUUAGAGUUUUUUUAUUUUUUUUUGCUUAGGAUUCUCGACUUACAAAUUUUUUUUUAUUUUUUUUAUAACUAAUAUCAUGUAAUGGAGUA